rnacentral:rRNA from 1 species
UACGUAGGGGGGCUAGCGUUGUCCGGAUUUAUUGGGCGUAAAGAGCGUGUAGGCGGCCAGAUAGGUCUGCUGUGAAAACUCGAGGCUCAACCUCGAGAUGUCGGCGGAAACCAUUUGGCUAGAGUCCGGAAGAGGAAAGUGGAAUUCCUGGUGUAGCGGUGAAAUGCGCAGAUAUCAGGAAGAACACCCGUGCGAAGGCGGCUUUCUGGGGACGGUACUGACGCUGAGACGCGAAAGCGUGGGGAGCGAACAGG